CAGCCGCCGCGGUAAUACGAAGGUGGCUAGCGUUGUUCGGAAUUACUGGGCGUAAAGGGCGCGUAGGCGGCCAUUCAAGUUAGAUGUGAAAGCCCUGGGCUCAACCUAGGAAUUGCAUUUGAUACUGUUUGGCUUGAGUUCGGGAGAGGUGAGUGGAAUUCCCAGUGUAGAGGUGAAAUUCGUAGAUAUUGGGAAGAACACCGGUGGCGAAGGCGGCGACCUGGUCCAUUACUGACGCUGAGGCGCGAAAGCGUGGGGAGCAAACAGGAUUAGAUACCCCCGUAGUCCCUGUCUCUUAUAC
rnacentral:rRNA from 1 species